CGAUGAAGCCUUUCGGGGUGGAUUAGUGGCGAACGGGUGAGUAACACGUGGGCAAUCUGCCCUUCACUCUGGGACAAGCCCUGGAAACGGGGUCUAAUACCGGAUAACACUCUGUCCUGCAUGGGACGGGGUUAAAAGCUCCGGCGGUGAAGGAUGAGCCCGCGGCCUAUCAGCUUGUUGGUGGGGUAAUGGCCUACCAAGGCGACGACGGGUAGCCGGCCUGAGAGGGCGACCGGCCACACUGGGACUGAGACACGGCCCAGACUCCUACGGGAGGCAGCAGUGGGGAAUAUUGCACAAUGGGCGAAAGCCUGAUGCAGCGACGCCGCGUGAGGGAUGACGGCCUUCGGGUUGUAAACCUCUUUCAGCAGGGAAGAAGCGAAAGUGACGGUACCUGCAGAAGAAGCGCCGGCUAACUACGUGCCAGCAGCCGCGGUAAUACGUAGGGCGCAAGCGUUGUCCGGAAUUAUUGGGCGUAAAGAGCUCGUAGGCGGCUUGUCACGUCGGAUGUGAAAGCCCGGGGCUUAACCCCGGGUCUGCAUUCGAUACGGGCUAGCUAGAGUGUGGUAGGGGAGAUCGGAAUUCCUGGUGUAGCGGUGAAAUGCGCAGAUAUCAGGAGGAACACCGGUGGCGAAGGCGGAUCUCUGGGCCAUUACUGACGCUGAGGAGCGAAAGCGUGGGGAGCGAACAGGAUUAGAUACCCUGGUAGUCCACGCCGUAAACGUUGGGAACUAGUGUUGGCGACAUUCCACGUCGUCGGUGCCGCAGCUAACGCAUUAAGUUCCCCG
rnacentral:rRNA from 1 species